rnacentral:rRNA from 1 species
GUACGGGGGGAGCAAGCGUUGUUCGGAUUUACUGGGCGUAAAGGGCGCGUAGGCGGCCACCGCAAGUCGGUUGUGAAAUCUCCGGGCUUAACCCGGAAAGGUCAAUCGAUACUGCGGGGCUAGAGUGCAGAAGGGGCAACUGGAAUUCUCGGUGUAGCGGUGAAAUGCGUAGAUAUCGAGAGGAACACCUGCGGCGAAGGCGGGUUGCUGGGCUGACACUGACGCUGAUGCGCGAAAGCUAGGGGAGCGAACGGG